AACGAACGCUGGCGGCAUGCCUAACACAUGCAAGUCGAACGAGACCUUCGGGUCUAGUGGCGCACGGGUGCGUAACGCGUGGGAACCUGCCCUUAGGUUCGGAAUAACUCCCCGAAAGGGGUGCUAAUACCGGAUAAUGUCUUCGGACCAAAGAUUUAUCGCCUUUGGAUGGGCCCGCGUUGGAUUAGCUAGUUGGUAGGGUAAAAGCCUACCAAGGCGACGAUCCAUAGCUGGUCUGAGAGGAUGAUCAGCCACACUGGGACUGAGACACGGCCCAGACUCCUACGGGAGGCAGCAGUGGGGAAUAUUGGACACUGGGCGAAAGCCUGGUCCAGCAAUGCCGCGUGAGUGAUGAAGGCCUUAGGGUUGUAAAGCUCUUUUACCCGGGAUGAUAAUGACAGUACCGGGAGAAUAAGCUCCGGCUAACUCCGUG
rnacentral:rRNA from 1 species